UACGGAAGGUGCAAGCGUUGUCCGGAUUGACUGGGUGUAAAGGGCGCGUAGGCGGAGAGGUGUGUCGGGAGUGAAAUCGUGCGGCUUAACCGUACAAUGGCUUUCGAAACUACCUCCCUUGAGUACAGAAGGGGUUGAUGGAAUACCUGGUGUAGCGGUGGAAUGCGUAGAUAUCAGGUAGAACACCGGAGGCGAAGGCGGUCAACUGGUCUGUAACUGACGCUGAGGCGCGAAACUGUGGGGAGCAAACAGG
rnacentral:rRNA from 1 species